rnacentral:rRNA from 1 species
UACGAAGGGGGCUAGCGUUGCUCGGAAUUACUGGGCGUAAAGGGAGCGUAGGCGGACAUUUAAGUCAGGGGUGAAAUCCCGGGGCUCAACCUCGGAAUUGCCUUUGAUACUGGGUGUCUUGAGUGUGGGAGAGGUAUGUGGAACUCCGAGUGUAGAGGUGAAAUUCGUAGAUAUUCGGAAGAACACCAGUGGCGAAGGCGACAUACUGGCCCAUUACUGACGCUGAGGCUCGAAAGCGUGGGGAGCAAACAGG